GAUGUGGCGUUGCCCAGACAACUAGGAUGUUGGCUUAGAAGCAGCCAUCAUUUAAAGAGUGCGUAAUAGCUCACUAGUCGAGUGACACUGCGCCGAAAAUGUACCGGGGCUAAACAUAUUACCGAAGCUGUGGAUUGUCCUUUGGACAAUGGUAGGAGAGCGUUCUAAGGGCGUUGAAGCAUGAUCGUAAGGACAUGUGGAGCGCUUAGAAGUGAGAAUGCCUGUGUGAGUAGCGAAAGACGGGUGAGAAUCCCGUCCACCGAUUGACUAAGGUUUCCAGAGGAAGGCUCGUCCGCUCUGGGUUAGUCGGGUCCUAAGCUGAGGCCGACAGGCGUAGGCGAUGGAUAACAGGUUGAUAUUCCUGUACCACCUAUAAUCGUUUUAAUCGAUGGGGGGACGCAGUAGGAUAGGCGAAGCGUGCGAUUGGAUUGCACGUCUAAGCAGUAAGGCUGAGUAUUAGGCAAAUCCGGUACUCGUUAAGGCUGAGCUGUGAUGGGGAGAAGACAUUGUGUCUUCGAGUCGUUGAUUUCACACUGCCGAGAAAAGCCUCUAGAUAGAAAAUAGGUGCCCGUACCGCAAACCGACACAGGUAGUCAAGAUGAGAAUUCUAAGGUGAGCGAGCGAACUCUCGUUAAGGAACUCGGCAAAAUGACCCCGUAACUUCGGGAGAAGGGGUGCUCUUUAGGGUUAACGCCCAGAAGAGCCGCAGUGAAUAGGCCCAAGCGACUGUUUAUCAAAAACACAGGUCUCUGCUAAACCGUAAGGUGAUGUAUAGGGGCUGACGCCUGCCCGGUGCUGGAAGGUUAAGAGGAGUGGUUAGCUUCUGCGAAGCUACGAAUCGAAGCCCCAGUAAACGGCGGCCGUAACUAUAACGGUCCUAAGGUAGCGAAAUUCCUUGUCGGGUAAGUUCCGACCCGCACGAAAGGCGUAACGAUUUGGGCACUGUCUCAACGAGAGACUCGGUGAAAUCAUAGUACCUGUGAAGAUGCAGGUUACCCGCGACAGGACGGAAAGACCCCGUGGAGCUUUACUGUAGCCUGAUAUUGAAAUUCGGCACAGCUUGUACAGGAUAGGUAGGAGCCUUUGAAACGUGAGCGCUAGCUUACGUGGAGGCGCUGGUGGGAUACUACCCUAGCUGUGUUGGCUUUCUAACCCGCACCACUUAUCGUGGUGGGAGACAGUGUCAGGCGGGCAGUUUGACUGGGGCGGUCGCCUCCUAAAAGGUAACGGAGGCGCUCAAAGGUUCCCUCAGAAUGGUUGGAAAUCAUUCAUAGAGUGUAAAGGCAUAAGGGAGCUUGACUGCGAGACCUACAAGUCGAGCAGGGUCGAAAGACGGACUUAGUGAUCCGGUGGUUCCGCAUGGAAGGGCCAUCGCUCAACGGAUAAAAGCUACCCCGGGGAUAACAGGCUUAUCUCCCCCAAGAGUUCACAUCGACGGGGAGGUUUGGCACCUCGAUGUCGGCUCAUCGCAUCCUGGGGCUGUAGUCGGUCCCAAGGGUUGGGCUGUUCGCCCAUUAAAGCGGUACGCGAGCUGGGUUCAGAACGUCGUGAGACAGUUCGGUCCCUAUCCGUCGUGGGCGUAGGAAAUUUGAGAGGAGCUGUCCUUAGUACGAGAGGACCGGGAUGGACAUACCUCUGGUGUACCAGUUGUCGUGCCAACGGCAUAGCUGGGUAGCUAUGUGUGGACGGGAUAAGUGCUGAAAGCAUCUAAGCAUGAAGCCCCCCUCAAGAUGAGAUUUCCCAACUUCGGUUAUAAGAUCCCUCAAAGAUGAUGAGGUUAAUAGGUUCGAGGUGGAAGCAUGGUGACAUGUGGAGCUGACGAAUACUAAUCGAUCGAAGACUUAAUCAAAA
rnacentral:rRNA from 1 species